rnacentral:rRNA from 1 species
AUGCAAGUGUAAGUACGAGCUCAAGUACAGUGAAACUGCGAAUGGCUCAUUAAAAAAGUUGUAAUUUAUUUGAUCGUACGCUUUAAUACAUGGAUAACUGUGGCAAUUCUAGAGCUAAUACAUGCGUGAAGCGCCGACCUGACGGAAGGUGCGCAUUUAUCAGACCAAAACUAACCGGCUUUCGGGCCGAAUUGAUGGUGACUCUGGAUAAGCUCGCGGAUCGCACGGCCUUGCGCCGGCGACAUCUCUUUAAAGCAACUUCCCUAUCAACUAUCGUCGGUACGGUAUCGGCCUACCGAGGUUGUAACGGGUGACGGAGAAUCAGGGUUCGAUUCCGGAGAGGGAGCCUGAGAAACGGCUACCACA